GGAACUGAUAGUGAUUGGUUGCGUUGUCUGUCAUCCCAGCAAGGACAAGGCUGAUUAUGCCGAUCUAGCUGGCUUCUUUUCUUACAACUCUGUACGUGUCCCUCCCAAAACUGUUUGCUUGGCUGGAGAAAAUGACCUUCCAGAAGAACAGGGCCCACUGUUCUUUGGUUACAGGUAUAACAAAUUGCUGCAGUUCACAACUGGAACCUCCAAACCUUUUUGCAUUUAAGAAUGCAAAAGUCUGGGCCUGGUGAGAUGGCUCAGCAGGUAAGAGCACUGACUGCUCUUCC
ensembl:misc_RNA 7SK 7SK RNA